rnacentral:rRNA from 1 species
AUUGAACGCUGGCGGCAUGCCUUACACAUGCAAGUCGAACGGUAACGGGCCUUCGGGUGCCGACGAGUGGCGCACGGGUGAGUAAUACAUCGGAACGUGCCCGAUCGUGGGGGAUAACGAGGCGAAAGCUUUGCUAAUACCUCAUACGAUCUACGGAUGAAAGCAGGGGACCGCAAGGCCUUGCGCGGACGGAGCGGCCGAUGGCAGAUUAGGUAGUUGGUGGGAUAAAAGCUUACCAAGCCGACGAUCUGUAGCUGGUCUGAGAGGAUGAUCGGCCACACUGGGACUGAGACACGGCCCAGACUCCUACGGGAGGCAGCAGUGGGGAAUUUUGGACAAUGGGCGCAAGCCUGAUCCAGCCAUGCCGCGUGCAGGAUGAAGGCCUUCGGGUUGUAAACUGCUUUUGUACGGAACGAAAAGCCUUCUUUUAAUACAGGAGGGUCAUGACGGUACCGUAAGAAUAAGCACCGGCUAACUACGUG